AUAAGCAGGUUGGAGAAUGUUUG
rnacentral:piRNA from 1 species